GGCUGGUCCUCAGUGAGUUAUCUCAGUUAAUUGUUCAGUCAGUUAUAGAUCAAACUCCGUGUUCUCCUCUUUCUCCCUUCUCUCUCCUGCACUUUGACUAGUCUUAA
rnacentral:Y_RNA from 1 species